rnacentral:rRNA from 1 species
UACGUAGGGUGCAAGCGUUAAUCGGAAUUACUGGGCGUAAAGCGUGCGCAGGCGGUGAUGUAAGACCGAUGUGAAAUCCCCGGGCUUAACCUGGGAACUGCAUUGGUGACUGCAUUGCUAGAGUAUGGCAGAGGGGGGUGGAAUUCCACGUGUAGCAGUGAAAUGCGUAGAGAUGUGGGAGGAACACCGAUGGCGAAGGCAGCCCCCUGGGCCAAUACGUGACGCUCAUGC